UGCGCGUAGCUCAGUUGGUUAGAGCACCUGCCUGAUACGCAGGGUUGUCGCGGGUUCAAGUCCCGUCGCGCAUA
rnacentral:tRNA from 1 species